CAGUACCGCGGGAAAACGAAGGGGGCUAGCGUUGUUCGGAAUUACUGGGCGUAAAGCGCACGUAGGCGGAUCGAUCAGUCAGGGGUGAAAUCCCAGAGCUCAACUCUGGAACUGCCUUUGAUACUGUCGAUCUGGAGUAUGGAAGAGGUGAGUGGAAUUCCGAGUGUAGAGGUGAAAUUCGUAGAUAUUCGGAGGAACACCAGUGGCGAAGGCGGCUCACUGGUCCAUUACUGACGCUGAGGUGCGAAAGCGUGGGGAGCAAACAGGAUUAGAUACCCGGGUAGUCCCUGUCUCUUAUACA
rnacentral:rRNA from 1 species